GACGAACGCUGGCGGCGUGCUUAACACAUGCAAGUCGAACGGGACUGCUAUGAAGGAGUUUUCGGACAACGGAUUAGUAGUUUAGUGGCGGACUGGUGAGUAACGCGUGAGGAACCUGCCUUUCAGAGGGGGACAACAGCUGGAAACGGCUGCUAAUACCGCAUGAUAUAUUUGAGUGGCAUCACUCGGAUAUCAAAGAUUUAUCGCUGAAAGAUGGCCUCGCGUCUGAUUAGCUAGUUGGUGAGGUAACGGCCCACCAAGGCGACGAUCAGUAGCCGGACUGAGAGGUUGACCGGCCACAUUGGGACUGAGAUACGGCCCAGACUCCUACGGGAGGCAGCAGUGGGGAAUAUUGGGCAAUGGGCGAAAGCCUGACCCAGCAACGCCGCGUGAAGGAAGAAGGCUUUCGGGUUGUAAACUUCUUUGACAGGGGAAGAGUAGAAGACGGUACCCUGAAAACAAGCCACGGCUAACUACGUG
rnacentral:rRNA from 2 species